AAUUAGUUAAAAGGUCCCUUAAAGAAAUUUUAAAUUUCACAAUGGUCCCUUAAAGAAAAAAAGGUUCAAAUUGAUCCCUUAAAGAUAUAUUCGUUGAUCAUAAUGGUCCCUUCCGUUUAAUUUUCACUGAAAACGUUAAGUUACGAUGACGUGUCAAGUUAUUUUUCAAAAAAAAAAAAACAAAGGAAAGGUUUUUUUUUCCAGAUCUCAUCUUCACCAUUUCCUUCAUCUUCUUCUUAUGUUGAUUUGUUGUUGUUGUUGUUUCCCACACCUAAUUACUAUGUUAUCUCCCCUAAUUCCCAAAUCCUUGUUCCUUCUUCCUCUUCAAUUGAAAUCAGGAGAGAAUCAAGACACACAAAAUCCUUGUUCCUUUCUUAUUCUCUUCAAUUGAGGUUGUUGUUAUUAUUGUUGCCUUGUUGGGUAGAUUUUUUCAUUUUGGUUUAAACCCAUAAUCUUAUUUUGGUAAGAAAAA
rnacentral:lncRNA from 1 species